AUUUAUAUUUACGUAAACCUUCAAAUUUAAUAAAUUUUAAAAAACCAGACAUAAUUAUGUUGAGAGCAUCAGCAACGGUAAUUUCUCAACUUCCGUUUCUCAAUAUAUGUGUAAACAUAAAUAAAAGUGUGAACACAAAUAUUAUUAAUAUUUA
rnacentral:sRNA from 1 species